AAUCAACGCUGGCGGCGCGCUUAACACAUGCAAGUCGAACGAGAAAGGGGAGCAAUCCCUGAGUAAAGUGGCGUACGGGUGAGUAACACGUGGAUGAUCUACCUCUUGAUGGGGGAUACCUCUGGGAAACCGGAGACAAUACCGCAUAAGCUCGGGAGAGGAAAGCCGAAAGGCGUCGAGAGAGGAGUCCGCGGCCGAUUAGCUAGUUGGUAGGGUAAAAGCCUACCAAGGCAAAGAUCGGAGCCGGCCUGAGAGGCACACGGCCACACUGGCACUGAAACACGGGCCAGACUCCUACGGGAGGCAGCAGUGGGGAAUCUUGCACAAUGGGGGCGAACCCUGAUGCAGCGACGCCGCGUGAGCGAUG
rnacentral:rRNA from 1 species